ensembl:lncRNA
GUUGGAGGGGAACGUCCUGUAGACUUUGACCCAGGCAGGAGCAGCCAGAAGGGGGUUGGAACACUGGCACGGCUCCAGGGUUGAUCCAGGCCUCCACUGAGACGUCAGCCUGGAGCCAGGGAGACGGAGGGAUAGAGAGAGGAAGGCAGAGAGACGCUGAGACGAAAAGAGGGAGCGCGAGCGGGAGAAGCUUCAGUAAGCAGACACUGUAGGGAGAAAACAACGAAUUAAACAAAUGGCUACACCCAGGAGGUCGGGUCUUCUGAACACCCUGGAGGUCGGCUCUUCUGAACACCCUGGAGGUCGGCUCUUCUGAACACCCUGGAGGUCGGGUCUUCUGAACACCCUGGAGGUGGGUCUUCUGAACACCCUGGAGGUGGGUCUUCUGAACACCCUGGAGGUCGGCUCUUCUGAACACCCAGGUGUUUGGCUCUUCUGAACACCCUGUAGUUUUGGCCUGUUUUACAGUGUAUGGAGAAUUGACAAAAUUA